rnacentral:rRNA from 1 species
UACGUAGGGUCCAAGCGUUAAUCGGAAUUACUGGGCGUAAAGCGUGCGCAGGCGGUUCGUUAAGUCAGAUGUGAAAGCCCCGGGCUCAACCUGGGAACUGCAUUUGAAACUGGCGGGCUUGAGUGCGGCAGAGGGGGGUGGAAUUCCGCGUGUAGCAGUGAAAUGCGUAGAGAUGCGGAGGAACACCGAUGGCGAAGGCAGCCCCCUGGGCCAACACUGACGCUCAGGCACGAAAGCGUGGGGAGCAAACAGG